UGAGCAAGUGCAUGUGUGGGAACCCUCCUGCCUGCUGGGCGCUCAGCUAGGAGUCCCAGAAUACCAGACACCAUUAUAUUCAAAUACCACAAAAGAUGUGAGAAUUCAAACUGAGCCAUAGCUCCAUCUCCUGGAAGUGUAUAUCAGCAGCAACAAGAGUAAAGACCCAGAGGCAUGAGAAACACUUCCUCACUGAAGCACUCACGUUCCGACUGUGUGCAAAAGACCUUUUGUGUCUCACUCACUGAGGGAGAUUGUUCUUCACUCAAUCAAUGAGAAGAACAGACGUCUUAGAAAACCUUCAGUACCUGGGGGAAAUGAAUGAGCUCAAACACAAGGGAAAGUCAGCCCGUGUUCAAGAUAAGCCCAUCUCAGGAAGGCAGGCACCAUGCUCCUGAGACUACUUUACCCCCAGAUAAGAAAGCCCUUAUUGAUAAGCCAAAAUCACAGAUUAUUUUAUUAAGCUCAUAUUUUAAAAGAAUGCAAAGCUUCCUUUAAUGUUACUUUCCAUUAUAAAUGUAAAAUUACAGUUUGCACAUAAUAUCUGGAUUCUGGUUAACUAUUUUCCAUACUGUAUUUUGCAAUUGCAUAUCUGCAUUUCUAUUUUUAUAUUAAAAAAUAAAUAGGGUUAUGCAAAU